rnacentral:tRNA from 1 species
GAAACAGUAGUUUAACGGAAAAACAUUCCACGCACAGGAAAGUUGCAGGUUCGAAUCCUGCCUGUUUCU